GACGAACGCUGGCGGCGUGCCUAAUACAUGCAAGUUGAGCGCUGAAGGUUGGUACUUGUCCCAACUGGAUGAGCAGCGCACGGGUGAGUAACGCGUGGGGAAUCUGCCUUUGAGCGGGGGACAACAUUUGGAAACGAAUGCUAAUACCGCAUAAAAACUUUAAACACAAGUUUUAAGUUUGAAAGAUGCAAUUGCAUCACUCAAAGAUGAUCCCGCGUUGUAUUAGCUAGUUGGUGAGGUAAAGGCUCACCAAGGCGAUGAUACAUAGCCGACCUGAGAGGGUGAUCGGCCACAUUGGGACUGAGACACGGCCCAAACGCCUACGGGAGGCAGCAGGAGGGAAUCUUCGGCAAUGGACGAAAGUCUGACCGAGCAACGCCGCGUGAGGGAAGAAGGUUGUCGGAUCGUAAAACUCUGUUGGUAGAGAAGAACGUUGGUGAGAGUGGAAAGCUCAUCAAGUGACGGUAACUACCCAGAAAGGGACGGCUAACUACGUG
rnacentral:rRNA from 1 species